AUGAUGAGAGAGGUUGCCCAGGUAUGCUUGGAUCCAUUGAUUGCAUGCAUUGUACUCGGAAGACUUGUCAUGUUGCAUGUCAAUGUCAGUAUCGAGGGCAUUGCCUCGAUCCAACCAUCAUUCUUGAGGCAGUUGCAUCACACGAUCUUUGGAUUUGGUAUGCAUACAUUGGUAUGCUUGGCUCUCACAAUGAUCUCAAUGUCCUUCAUCGAUCUUCUCUUUUUGAAAGGCUUAUUGAUGGUGGCAGCCAACUUGCAACUAUGUUGUCGAUCUCACAAUGUGUACAACAUGGGUUACUACCUUGCCGAUGAUAUCCAUCCUCCAUGGGCCACAAUUGUGAAUACUAUCCACAAACCAAAAGGUAACAAGAGAUCUUACUUUGCAACUUGUCAAGAAUCUGCUAGAAAGGAUGUUGAGAGAUCAUUCAGUGUGCUUCAACGAUGA
rnacentral:rRNA from 1 species